AAAUUGAGUAAUUUGAGACUGUUUGAUUAUGUUGUAAAUUUAUGGUUUGAAUUGAAUGGCUUAUGGUGAUAUUGGCAUGAAUGGCUGAAUUGGAAAUUGUGUUCAAAUUGUAUGAACUGUUUGUUUUGCCUUAACAGGCUGGGUAGUAAUAUAAUUGCCAUGUCAUGCUGUCGAAACUUUUAUUGAUUUGGUGGGAUAUUGAUUAGUCACUGCAGUGGUGGGUUUUCGUGGACCAGCCUAUUAGAAAGGGGCACGGUAAACCCGGUUAUAUUUUA
rnacentral:lncRNA from 1 species